rnacentral:rRNA from 1 species
UACAGAGGUCUCAAGCGUUGUUCGGAUUCAUUGGGCGUAAAGGGUGCGUAGGUGGCGCGGUAAGUCGGAUGUGAAAUCUCGGGGCUUAACUCCGAAACUGCAUUCGAUACUGCCGUGCUUGAGGACUGGAGAGGAGACUGGAAUUUACGGUGUAGCGGUGAAAUGCGUAGAUAUCGUAAGGAAGACCAGUGGCGAAGGCGGGUCUCUGGACAGUUCCUGACACUGAGACACGAAGGCCAGGGGAGCAAACGGG